rnacentral:rRNA from 1 species
UACAGAGGUCUCAAGCGUUGUUCGGAUUCAUUGGGCGUAAAGGGUGCGUAGGCGGGUCUUUAAGUCAGGGGUGAAAUCCUGGAGCUCAACUCCAGAACUGCCUUUGAUACUGAAGAUCUUGAGUCCGGGAGAGGUGAGUGGAACUGCGAGUGUAGAGGUGAAAUUCGUAGAUAUUCGCAAGAACACCAGUGGCGAAGGCGGCUCACUGGCCCGGUACUGACGCUGAGGCACGAAAGCGUGGGGAGCAAACAGGG